rnacentral:misc_RNA from 1 species
GAUGAAGAACGCAGCAAAAUGCGAUAAGUAAUGGGAAUUGCAGAAUUCAGUGAAUCAUCGAAUCUUUGAACGCACAUUGCGCCCGCUGGUAUUCCGGCGGGCAUGCCUGUUCGAGCGUCAUUUCAACCCUCAAGCCCCCGGGUUUGGUGUUGGGGAUCGGCUCUGCCCUUCUGGGCGGUGCCGCCCCCGAAAUACAUUGGCGGUCUCGCUGCAGCCUCCAUUGCGUAGUAGCUAACACCUCGCAACUGGAACGCGGCGCGGCCAUGCCGUAAAACCCCAACUUCUGAAUGUUGACCUCGGAUCAGGUAGGAAUACCCGCUGAACUUAAGCAUAUCAAUAAGCGGAGGA